GCAAGCAAGUAAGGGCAUAUGGUGGAUGCCUAGGCGUUGGGGGCUGAAGAAGGGCGUGGCAAGCUGCGAAAAGCCUCGGGUAGCCGCAAGCAGGUGAAGAUCCGGGGAUGCCCGAAUGGGGAAACCUGGCUGGGGUAAAGCCCAGUCAAUCCAUGCUGAACCCAUAGGCAUGGAUGAGCAACCGGGGGAACUGAAACAUCUUAGUACCCCGAGGAAAAGAAAACAACCGUGAUUCCCCGAGUAGCGGCGAGCGAAAAGGGAAGAGCCCAAACCUUAAUCGUGAAAAAGACUGUACUCGUUGCGAUUAAGGGGUCGAGGGGCAUACGAGGGGCCUGGUACAGCGGGUCCGGUGAGUAAAAAGGCUUGUGCUUAGAAGAAAAGGUCUGGAAAGUCCUACCGAAGAGAGUAAAAGUCUCGUAUUCGAAAAGGCAAGCGCUCACCUGGUAUGACCCCAAGUACUGCGGGGCACGUGAAAUCCUGCAGGAAUUAGGGAGGACCACCUCCUAAGGCUAAAUACCACCCGACGACCGAUAGUGAACUAGUACCGUGAGGGAAAGGUGAAAAGCACCCCGGGAGGGGAGUGAAAUAGAACCUGAAACCAUAUGCCUACAAGCAGUCAGAGUCUGGCGUUAAGCUGGAUGAUGGCGUACUUUUUGUAGAACGGACCGGCGAGUUGCGUUAUGCAGCGAGGUUAAGGCUUGGAAAGCUGGAGCCGAAGCGAAAGCGAGUCUGAAAAGGGCGAGUGAGUUGCAUGAUGCAGACCCGAAACCGGGUGAGCUACCCAUGGGCAGGGUGAAGCGAGACUAACCUCUCGUGGAGGCCCGAACCGACCGUCGUUGAAACGGCGGCGGAUGACCUGUGGGUAGGGGUGAAAAGCCAACCGAACCCGGAGAUAGCUGGUUCUCCCCGAAAUAGCUUUAGGGCUAGCCUCAGGUGGUACUUUAUGGGGGUAGAGCACUGAUCAGGCUAGGGGCGUCGACCACGUUACCGAACCUUUUCAAACUCCGAAUACCAUAAAGCAAAGCCUGGGAGUCAGACUGUGGGUGAAAAGAUUCACAGUCGAAAGGGAAACAGCCCAGACCGUCAGCUAAGGUCCCGAAGUACAGGCUAAGUGGAAAAGGAUGUGGAGCUACUCAGACAACCAGGAUGUUGGCUUAGAAGCAGCCACCAUUCAAAGAGUGCGUAAUAGCUCACUGGUCAAGUGGCUCUGCGCCGAAAAUGUAACGGGGCUAAGUCUGUCACCGAAGCUACGGAUUUUGGAGGUCGGAAACCAGAGGUCAGAAGUCGGAAAAGGAAGUGAAGGCAUGAUACGCCAAUACCAUGACCUCAAAGUAUACCAAGAGUCAUAUAGACUAGUACUCGAAGUAUACGGGAUAACGAGAGCAAUGCCGGAAUAUGAGAGGCGUGAACUCGGAUACCAGAUGAGGCGUGCAGCAGUAUCAAUACCUGCGAACAUAGCAGAAGGCUAUGGCAGAAAAGAAUCAGCUGCAGAAUUCAAACACUUCCUGAGAAAUGCACUUGGAUCGAAUAAUGAAGUCAGAGUACUAAUUGACCUAGCACACGAUCUUGGAUACAUAACAACAAAAAAACACCAAGAACUAAGCAAACGUUAUGAAAUACUAGGAAAACAGCUGUUUACACUGAUAAAGAAAUGGACUAAGCGCUCUGACAUCUGACAUCUGGCCUCCGACUUCCAAGAUGGUAGGGGAGCGUUCCAGGGGCGUCGAAGGUAUACCGUAAGGUAUGCUGGAGCGACUGGAAGUGAGAAUGCCGGUAUAAGUAAGCGAGAAGGCAGGUGAGAAUCCUGCCCGCCGGAAGCCCGAGGUUUCCUGGGGAAGGCUCGUCCGCCCAGGGUAAGUCGGGACCUAAGCCGAGGCUUAAGAGCGUAGGCGAUGGACAAUCGGUGGAAAUUCCGAUACCGCCGGUAAGCCGUUUGAGCGAAGGGGUGACACAGGAGGGUAGGCACAGCGGGCUGUUGGAAUAGCCCGUCCAAGCUGGUAGGGAGGACUGAUAGGCAAAUCCGUCAGUCUAUAAAUCCUGAGAAGCGAGAGCGAGGGAAAAAUAGUACCGAAGUGGCUGAUCCCACACUGGCGAGAAAAACCUCUAGUGAGGCUUACAGGUGCCCGUACCGAAAACCGACACAGGUAGGCGAGGAGAGAAUCCUAAGGCGCGCGAGAGAACCCUCGUUAAGGAACUCGGCAAACUGACCCCGUAACUUUGGGAGAAGGGGUGCCCCGGUAGGGUGAAGGUUUUAAACAAUUGGAGCCCGAGGGGGUUGCAGAGAAGAGGCCCAAACGACUGUUUACCAAAAACACAGGUCCCUGCGAAAGCGAAAGCUGAUGUAUAGGGGCUGACGCCUGCCCGGUGCUGGAAGGUUAAGGGGAAGAGUGAGAGCUCUGAACCGAAGCCCCAGUAAACGGCGGCCGUAACUAUAACGGUCCUAAGGUAGCGAAAUUCCUUGUC
rnacentral:rRNA from 1 species